CCUACGGGAGGCAGCAGUGAGGAAUAUUGGACAAUGGGCGCAAGCCUGAUCCAGCCAUGCCGCGUGCAGGAAGACGGUCCUAUGGAUUGUAAACUGCUUUUGUACGGGAAGAAACACUCCUACGUGUAGGAGCUUGACGGUACCGUAAGAAUAAGGAUCGGCUAACUCCGUGCCAGCAGCCGCGGUAAUACGGAGGAUCCAAGCGUUAUCCGGAAUCAUUGGGUUUAAAGGGUCCGUAGGCGGUUUAGUAAGUCAGUGGUGAAAGCCCAUCGCUCAACGAUGGAACGGCCAUUGAUACUGCUAGACUUGAAUUACUAGGAAGUAACUAGAAUAUGUAGUGUAGCGGUGAAAUGCUUAGAUAUUACAUGGAAUACCAAUUGCGAAGGCAGGUUACUACUAGUGGAUUGACGCUGAUGGACGAAAGCGUGGGGAGCGAACAGGAUUAGAUACCCUGGUAGUCCACGCCGUAAACGAUGGAUACUAGCUGUUCGGGGCAACCUGAGUGGCUAAGCGAAAGUGAUAAGUAUCCACCUGGGGAGUACGUUCGCAAGAAUGAAACUCAAAUGAAUUGACGGNGUGAGAGAGCGAGACGACGACGAGGGAGGAGG
rnacentral:rRNA from 1 species